rnacentral:rRNA from 1 species
CGUCGUGAGACAGUUCGGUCCCUAUCUGCCAUGGGCGUUGGAGAUUUGAGAGGGGCUGCUCCUAGUACGAGAGGACCGGAGUGGACGAACCUCUGGUGUUCCGGUUGUCACGCCAGUGGCAUUGCCGGGUAGCUAUGUUCGGAAGCGAUAACCGCUGAAAGCAUCUAAGCGGGAAGCGCGCCUCAAGAUGAGAUCUCCCGGGGCACAAGCCCCCUGAAGGAACCAUGUAGACUACGUGGUUGAUAGGUCAGGUGUGUAAGUACAGCAAUGUAUUGAGCUAACUGAUACUAAUGAUCCGUGCGGCUUGACCAUAUAACCUCA